ensembl:lncRNA
UUCUUGCAUUCUUGCAAGUAUUUUGUCAUGGAUGAGGCAGGGAUUUGUCUUCACUGAGAUAAACACUCUAGAUUUCGAUAUGCUUCACUUUCUUACAUGCUAUUGCUAGCAGGACCAUCUGUGAACUUACUGAACGCUUUAUACCUCAUAUCUCAACAUUUUUUGGACCCAUUUCUAUACAUUAUACAGAAAGGGUAAGGUAAUGCAUGGAUGACCAUGGGACUUGGUAGUCCUAAUGUGUACCACAUUCCUUAUAAGCAGAAGUCUGAAUUUUUGGAAGACUCAGUUAAAGUGGCAUGUAGUCAUUUAGCACCCUCUUGGAGUACUGUUCAAUUUUGGACGUUGUAGAUGAGCUGAAUAGUGACUAAGAAAAAGCAUAAUUUCUUCUGUAGCCAAAAUGCAUUGGUUAAAGAAAGGAGAGGUAGGAAUGGAGUGGUACCUCUCAUAUUACACUUAAUAAUAGCCAACUCAAAAAAGUUAUGCUUUUCAUGUUUCCAACUCAGGGCUCUCUGCUGUUUUUUUGUUUUAGAAAAGGAGGAGUACAUACUCCCACCAGUAGUCAUGGAGAUGCCUCUGUUUAUUGAUUUACCAAAAAUGAUUUAUUUUUAUAUGAAGUUUAAAGCAGUUUAAAUUACAUUCAUUUGCUGGCUUAGAGAACUGUGGGAAGUCUUGACUUAAUGGGUGUUGGGCUUUUGGACUCCUCCUCUGUCAGUUUUCUUUUUGUUUCUGUUUCCCCCCCUUCCCCCACCCCUCCCCUCUCUUUUUAGGGCCAUAGGCAAGGAGCCGUGACAGACAAUUUGAGUGUUUUUAAAAAUACUCUCAUAAAAAAUAUACCUUCGACUGGGUGCGGUGGCUCACGCAUGUAAUCCCAGCACUUUGGGAGGCUGAGGCAGGCACAUCACUUAAGGUCAGGAGUUAGAGAUCAGCCUGGCCAACAUGGUGAAACCUGGUCUUUACUAAAAACACAAAAAUAAGCCAGUCAUGAUGGUGCGUGCCUGUAGUUCCAGCUACUUGGGAGCCUGAGGCAGGAGAAUCACUUGAACCUGCAAGGCAGAGGUUGCAAUGAGCUGAAAUCGUGCUACUGCACUCCAGCCUGGGCAACACAGCGAGACUCUGUUUCAAAAAAAAAAAAAAAAAGCAAAACAUUUUUUCCCCAACACUUUCCAAAGAAUGGUUUAAAAGCAAUGACAAUCCAUGAUCAGUGAGAAUUCCCACCCAGACUAUGGUCUCUCAAUUCCUUUUUCAAAGGGGCAGUCAGGCUACUUGGAGACUUGGGUAAAUUUAUGGAUUUUAAUACAUUCAGGAGGAACAGCAAUCAAAUGCCAUAUUUGGAUCUGGUGGGAUCUCAUUCAGAUAAAAUCAAUAUAAAAAAUAUUUGAGACAAUUCCGGAUUUUCUUUCUUUAAGGGCUAGGUAUUGGAUAAUGUUACACAUCAUUUUUUAAAUUUUCUUAGGUGUAAAAUCUUAGCGUAUUUUCUUUAUAUCCAUAUCUGUUAGGAUACUUGUGAAAAUAUUCAUGAUUAAAAUCACAUAUUUGGGAUUUCAUGUUUCGGAUAUUUUUUAGACUCCCUCAUCUGUCAGUGUGGGUGCGGAUAAUGAAACAAAAUGGGCAAGAUGUUGGUAAUUGUUGAAACCUGUGCGACGAGACUUGGGAAGUGCAGGAUUCUCUAUAUUUUUGUGUCUACUUCAGGAUGUCCAUGACCACUCCCUUUCCCCUCCAAAAAAAAGUUAAAAAAAAAAAAAAAACUGGCCAAUCAGUGAACAUAUUUCUUUUUUGGUCAACAAAGGGCUACCCUGAGAGGAAUCUACAUGCAGAGAAGUUCAGGCGACUGAACUAACAGGAAGCGCUACGGGCUGGAGAGCUGCUGUUGGCACAGGGAGGAGUUCUCCGGGCCGCACCCUCCCUCCGUCCCGCAGGCGAGUUGAGAAGCGCUAUUGCCAUCUUGUGGCGAUAAUGGAUAGGAUAAUGUAGCUAAAACUUUGUUUAGUUUUAUGAGUUGAGAAGCGCUGUCGCCAUCUUGUGGCAAUAACGGAUAGGAUAAUGUAGCUAAAACUUUGUUUCGUUUUAUGAUUUCGAUUAGGCAUUUCAUUGCUACGGUUUAAUAAUUGAAUAUACAAAAAAUACUAUAAACCAUCCCAUCCCCAACAGCCCCCCGCCGCCCAGUUCCCCCAUCUACUUGGCAAAGAUUCUCUUUUUGACCAAACUCUAGGCGGCUUCUUCUAAGCCCUCUUCUGGACUAGGUGGCCACCUUGGCCUAUAAAGACCUGAACAAACCUGAACAUAGUUACUAAUAGCGCCGGUCUCCUCAAGUGCCUGCCUGAGAAAACUCAAUUGAUGCCGCCAAAGGAAUUUACCGUUUGUUUCAGUCAACGUCUGAAGAUAGGGCCCUCGUCUGCCACUCUCUGUGGUAGGAGUGGAGCCUGAUUUUGAUAUGUGCCAGUUAUGAAACCCAGAUGGUUCCCCACUGUCAGUGGUUACUAAAUAAAAUCUGUUUUCGUCAUU